rnacentral:rRNA from 1 species
GAUGAACGCUGGCGGCGUGCCUAAUACAUGCAAGUCGAGCGAACAGACGAGGAGCUUGCUCCUCUGACGUUAGCGGCGGGCGGGUGAGUAACACGUGGAUAACCUACCUAUAAGACUGGGAUAACUUCGGGAAACCGGAGCUAAUACCGGAUAAUAUAUUGAACCGCAUGGUUCAAUAGUGAAAGACGGUUUUGCUGUCACUUAUAGAUGGAUCCGCGCCGCAUUAGCUAGUUGGUAAGGUAACGGCGUACCAAGGCAACGAUGCGUAGCCGACCUGAGAGGGUGAUCGGCCACACUGGAACUGAGACACGGUCCAGACUCCUACGGGAGGCAGCAGUAGGGAAUCUUCCGCAAUGGGCGAAAGCCUGACGGAGCAACGCCGCGUGAGUGAUGAAGGUCUUCGGAUCGUAAAACUCUGUUAUUAGGGAAGAACAAAUGUGUAAGUAACUAUGCACGUCUUGACGGUACCUAAUCAGAAAGCCACGGCUAACUACGUG